CAAGUUCGAAGGCGGAUCUUUCCCUGGCAGGAAAGUGGACAGAGCUUCGACGGAGCGCGGAAAAGACUUUGUGAUGGGGAAUUGGAAACGGAUAAUGUUCAGGGCUAACAGGACCCCAUAUAUCUGAUCCCCGACAUUUACGCAGCUUUUACGCGAUUUACCUGAUCUGGAACAUGAUGGGGGUUCGCAGGAGCAAAAGUCUGGCAGACAAUCACCAACGGCCUUUUUUCGUUCCGACAUACAGCCCUUUAUGAUAAAGGAUGCCUUACGGACAGCUGACACGCAGGACUUUAAUGCAAUUCUACCGUUCACUGUGGCCCAAGUACACUGCUCAGAAUCAAGCCCACCCGAAAACUACUGUUGGGCCGGGAACUUGCUGCUUCACGAGCCGGCGCUCCAGGGACAAGACUGCCCGGAGACAGACCCAGCAGAAUCUGGAACGCUAGAGGGAAAAAGUCACACACCCCCGGUUUCGGCGAUUCGUCACAACAAGCAUCAAA